rnacentral:rRNA from 1 species
CUGGAAAGAUGAAUCAAAGAAGGUAAUAAUCCUGUAGUCGAAAAUGUUGUCUCUCUUGAGUGGAUCCUGAGUACGACGGAGCACGUGAAAUUCCGUCGGAAUCUGGGAGGACCAUCUCCUAAGGCUAAAUACUCUCUAGUGACCGAUAGUGAACCAGUACCGUGAGGGAAAGGUGAAAAGCACCCCGGAAGGGGAGUGAAAUAGAACCUGAAACCGUGUGCUUACAAGUAGUCAGAGCCCGUUAAUGGGUGAUGGCGUGCCUUUUGUAGAAUGAACCGGCGAGUUACGAUUUGAUGCAAGGUUAAGCAGUAAAUGUGGAGCCGUAGCGAAAGCGAGUCUGAAUAGGGCGUUUAGUAUUUGGUCGUAGACCCGAAACCAGGUGAUCUACCCUUGGUCAGGUUGAAGUUCAGGUAACACUGAAUGGAGGACCGAACCGACUUACGUUGAAAAGUGAGCGGAUGAACUGAGGGUAGCGGAGAAAUUCCAAUCGAACCUGGAGAUAGCUGGUUCUCUCCGAAAUAGCUUUAGGGCUAGCCUCAAGUGAUGAUUAUUGGAGGUAGAGCACUGUUUGGACGAGGGGCCCCUCUCGGGUUACCGAAUUCAGACAAACUCCGAAUGCCAAUUAAUUUAACUUGGGAGUCAGAACAUGGGUGAUAAGGUCCGUGUUCGAAAGGGAAACAGCCCAGACCACCAGCUAAGGUCCCAAAAUAUAUGUUAAGUGGAAAAGGAUGUGGCGUUGCCCAGACAACUAGGAUGUUGGCUUAGAAGCAGCCAUCAUUUAAAGAGUGCGUAAUAGCUCACUAGUCGAGUGACACUGCGCCGAAAAUGUACCGGGGCUAAACAUAUUACCGAAGCUGUGGAUUGUCCUUUGGACAAUGGUAGGAGAGCGUUCUAAGGGCGUUGAAGCAUGAUCGUAAGGACAUGUGGAGCGCUUAGAAGUGAGAAUGCCGGUGUGAGUAGCGAAAGACGGGUGAGAAUCCCGUCCACCGAUUGACUAAGGUUUCCAGAGGAAGGCUCGUCCGCUCUGGGUUAGUCGGGUCCUAAGCUGAGGCCGACAGGCGUAGGCGAUGGAUAACAGGUUGAUAUUCCUGUACCACCUAUA